GGCUGAGGAGAGCACGGCCUGGGCUUCAGUUUGGCCGUCAGAAAAUCUACCCCUUAUUUUACGGCAAAUGUCCCUGAGCUCGUAGCUAUCAACGUCCUCGAAUAAUUUUGCAAAAUAAAGCGUUGUUUUCCUUCUUCAGGCAAAGAGUAUCAGGCUCAUGUUGUGCAGGUAAAUAGUGAUCAAAGGGGAAGAAAUCUCUCUUCCCGGCCCUUAAAGGAAGAUGGGCUUGUAAGCUAAGUGCCAUGGUUUUUAUCUGCUCCUCAUUUUCAUGGUUAUUAAGGUUGGAAAAUAACUCCAAAAAAAAAGAUCAACUCCAGCAAGGUUUAAGCUCUCAAGUUCUAAGAUUUUGUCAAUUAAAAACCAACCAAAUCCAGUAGAAGUUGGGCGGAUGGCACAGUGCCCUCAACACACAGCACCACAGAAGGAGACCCCCACAACUAAUGAGUAAUAAGCUUUCUACAACAAACCCAGAGGGUAAAAAUAACAUGAAAUACAUUCAGUAGCAAAGCCGUUGGGACCCAGGAGACAUGGAGAGCCCUGUAUUCCUGGAGAAUUGACCUGUAUGUGUUAAGUCACAAUCCUGAAAUAAAUUGUGUAGACUUCUGGCCUGGGAAAGAUAAGGUUUUGAUCAAUGCUGAACAUUAUUUAUCCAGUUACAAAUUGCUUGCAUUUCCCAAGCCACGUGUGGAUUAGCUCAGUUCUAAAGGCUGCUGUGAUGUACACCUCCCCUAAAACCCGAGAGAUCCAAACUUGAGUGUUUCAUCAUGUCUCCCCUUAGUGUUAUUACCUGGAAGGAACUAAUGGGAAUGGGACAGUUCCCAGUAGGAUAUUAGCACAAUAAACAGACAAAUAAUUUAGUUUUAACCUCUGUGUUUGCACAUCUGGUGCAGCCAGCUCUUUGCACAGCAGCCCCUUCAGCAGGGACAGAGAGUGCUCGUCAGCCACAGCAGUCCCUCAGACCUGAGGAGAACAUCUCUGUCCUUUCUUCACAAUCAAUCAGACAUGACACUUACUACGAUUUUCUCUCUAACAGCUGGAAGAACACCAGCACUGUAAGAGUGCUUCUGGUUUAAAAGCCAAGGGUGUUUAGGCUUAGGAGAUGAUGCAGAAAUUGCCAAUUAUCCCUGAGUCUAACAGUAAAUGAUAAUCCUCUGAGUAAAUGAGAAUCACCUGAUUAUAGUUCUCCCACACAUACAAGUAGUUUCAUGGAUUUCACUGCAGCUAUUUAAUAGGAGCAGCCCUGCCUUGAUCCUGUAGAGAAAGCAUGGCCUGUGACUUCCAAAUUUUGGUAUUUUGAUGCCAGUAAAUGUAGGUUUUUAUUUCCUCCCAAAAUACCACGUUCAGUCAAUGAGUGGCAUCACGACCCUGAAGUCAAUGGGAUACUUCAUGCUUUGUUAAGGGGCUGAAUUCUUGCAGUUCUUGACUUUUUAUCUCCAUCUCCCCUUGUAAACAGCUGGUUUUAUUUCAAGUUGUUCUUAACACAGUGGCAGAGAUGAUAAUUUAUCUUAAAAUAAAUUUCAAGGGCCAACUUAGUUAAGUCAUUUAAAAUGUCUAUCAAAGAAAAAAAAUGCUGCUUAUCUGUGUAAGCACUUAAACUUAGUUGUAGCAAAUUAAAUCCUCAUUACCAAACAGGACAAGGGUGGGUUUGUUCACUGGCAGUACUGUUUACAUAGCUGACUACCUUUCCUGAGACUGGUUCUGCCAAACCCUAAUGCAGAUGGCACCUCAGGGAUUUUGCAAUUUCUUGACUUCUCUACCCCUACUAGUUUCUAUCUUUUUUCUCUUUAUUCCUCUUCAGGUACAUUUAGAAAUGUAAACUAAGUGGAAUAAGUCCUAUUUAGACUAAGUUUGGUUCACAAAGAUAAUACACGACUAGUUCACAAAUGUACCACGUAAAUAAAUCAGCCUUGCUUCAUUUAGCCUGUAAAGUGUUACAGUCAAAGGAAAACCAACUUUUUAAAGUGAAAAGGACUUUUUUUUUUUUUUUUCCCCUAUAUUGGGGAUCUCAGGAACAAACUAUAGUCCACCAAGAUACAAGUUGUAGUAAAAAUAUUCUUUGGAGGUUUGUUCCUAAUCAAAGUAAAGUCUUUAUUUCAGAAUGGUACAUUCUCAAUAGAAUUUAAAAAUAGGUUUUGGUUCCACAUAUAUAUUUAUAAAAUUCAAAUUAAUUUUAAUAAAAGUUUGAUCUGAACACAUAGUUUACUACAGACUCAGGGAAAAAAGGUUGAUCACUCCACACUUAGGAGCUAUGUUAGCUGUUCCAGUGCCACAAGGAAACAACAGUUUCAGUGAGACUGAUGAUGUUUCCUGCUGAAAAGCUGGACAAUAAGCCAGCUAUCCCUGACAAACCCACCAAGGAUAUGUGUGUAGGUAGUUCUGUCACACAGAGAUCUCUUUUCUUGCAGGAAACUAAAUUUCCCAAUGGCAUCUAUAGUCAGCAGACAGGAUUUUAGCUUGCCUGGUUUAAUCAUGGAGUCCUGCUCCUUUCCUUCAUUCUCAAUAUUCAUCAAGAUAAUGACAUUAAGCUAUUUUCUUGUUCUUUCAGUAAUGCCGAGAAGAUGCAGUUUCCUCCUAAAUAUUACACUUCCAAAUGCCAUUGCUCCAAAUGCUACCUUGGAUCCACAGCUGGAAGGUGGAAAGUGUUUAUUGCCUUUAGGGUCAUUGCUUUCCUUUGGGUGAGGUAAGCCAGCUUCCAUCCUUACAAGGGUUUGAAAUCGUCAUGGCUAGCAGGUAGCAAAUGUGGUUUUGUUCCUGAAACUCAAUAUCCAAAGUCAGAAAGCAGCUACACUGAGAAAAUGAAUCUUGUGUCAAAGCUCAUCCUGUGAAAGGUGAUUUACCAGUUCCUUUUUGACGAACUUAGAAAGUCCCAUGAUCCGCUUGCACUCACUGGACCCUGUGAGGUGAUUUAACUCAUUCACUUGACAGAAGAUAAACUGCAGGGGGAUAAAUCCACCCACAUGGGUUUUUUUGCUGUUGUUUUUAAUUAUCUCCAGUACAUACUACAACAAGGACAAGGGACAGGACUGUACAGUGGGGAGCUGGAGGGCUGAGCAGUAGUGAGCUCUUAAUUCAUCUGCUCAGGGACUCACAGCCUGAAAAGACAUUCCUUUAAUCAUUCUUACUGAACUUUUCCAAUCAUGUUUUUAAAUCCACUUGUAAGUAUGAUUUAAGAUAAAUGAAAUGAGAAAUUCAGACACUUGUCAAAACCAGUUUCCCUCAUGGGCAGAGUACUCUCAAAUGCAACAUUCACAUGUUCACCAGGUAUCCUUAAAUGUCACUUCAGAUUUUUUAUGAAUUCAGAUUCACAUUCUAAAUGUGAAGCGGAACUGGUAAGUGAAUGACUAACACUGGGUUUAGUUAGUCAAGAGAAUGGAAACAUUUAUGCAAAUAUUAUGAGCAAGACAGUGACAAGGGAAAAAGACCUUUGAUAACAUUUGCAAAAGAAGUACCUUCUGUUUUCCCCCUUUUGUUCCUCACUGUAUUAAUAAUUCCAGAUGAUACGUUCUUGAAGGUACAUUUUAAAAUAUUAAAGUUUUUUAACCCCUUAUUCUUAGAAGAGAGAAUUGUUUCAGGAUGGUGAUUAUAUUUUGAGCUCUACUUCUAUCAGCUGACUGCCUUUUAGAAUCUUUCCUUUGGCACUGGUAACAUUAAAUUUGUACUACCCUGUUGAAAAUAAUUCACAAUUAUGCUUGACAACAAAUCACAAGAUGGGUAUUAUUAAAUUUUAUUGUACAAAACUGACAAUGUAUGGCAUUCCUUAGAAUUAAAAAAAAAAAA